GACGAACCGAGCGAACGUUGUUCGGAAUCACUGGGCUUAAAGGGCGCGUAGGCGGGCGAUCAAGUCGGUGGUGAAAUCCUACAGCUUAACUGUAGAACUGCCUCCGAUACUGGUUGUCCCGAGGAAGGUAGGGGCGUGCGGAACAGUUGGUGGAGCGGUGAAAUGCGUUGAUAUCAACUGGAACUCCGGUGGCGAAGGCGGCACGCUGGACCUUUUCUGACGCUGAGGCGCGAAAGCCAGGGGAGCAAACGGG
rnacentral:rRNA from 1 species